CAGGUCAGAGUCAAUGAGUGACCCUCCAGGAUCUCACCUCGAUCACUCAGCUGCACCCUGGGGGCUUUCAGAGCAUCUGGAGGAGAAGAUGGAGGAGAAAGUCAGUCUGAGGAGAGGAGACCUCCACUGAAGUCCAACAAUCUGAAACAUGUCGAACUCGCUUGACUGAAUCCGGACAUCCAGUGGGAAAUGAAAGACAAAACAGCUGCCGGCCUGCAGCUCGUGUGACAUGACAGCCAAGCGGACACAUGAGAAUCUUCCACUUGGACGUCUACCACCUGCAUCUGCACAGCUGGAGGGAAGAGGAGCAAAAAGGUCCAGUGAACCUCUCUCUCUCAGCUCUUACCCAUCACUACACUUCCCCACGGAACCUGCAGUCGACUGAUUCAAGUCUCCUCACUGUCCUUGUCGCCAUCAGGUGAACUUUCAGGCGUGGAACUACAACCCGUGGAAAUUCGGCAUUCACCAACAUCGGCUAUUUUCAACUCGGCAAUGAAACAGCUCUUGUUUAUCUUUGGCACCUACUUUGGUUUUUCUCUGUUCUUGUCGUCAACUUGUUGUGAUUGACUUUC